GGAAUAUUGCUCAAUGGGAGAAAUCCUGAAGCAGCAACGCCGCGUGGAGGAUGAAGGGUUUUUAACUUGUAAACUCCUGUAAAGAAGGAAAAAAUUCCCAUUAGAUGGGAAAUGAUGGUACUUCUGGAGUAAGCCCCGGCUAACUACGUGCCAGCAGCCGCGGUAAUACGUAGGGGGCAAGCGUUGUCCGGAUUUACUGGGUGUAAAGGGUGCUCAGGCGGAUUUGUAAGUCAGAGGUGAAAUCUCACAGCUUAACUGUGAAACUGCCUUUGAUACUGCAAGCCUAGAGUAUGGAAGAGAGUGAUGGAAUAUCUGGUGUAGCAGUGAAAUGCGUAGAUAUCAGAUAGAACACCAAUGGCGAAGGCAGUCACUUGGUCCAUAACUGACGCUAAAGCACGAAAGCGUGGGUAGCAAACA
rnacentral:rRNA from 1 species